rnacentral:lncRNA from 1 species
GAUGGAUCAGGGUAUUCACACUGGGAAGGGGACUUCUGCUCCCAAGAACACAAGGAGAGUGAGCCUGGCUAAGGACCCUGCAGAAGUCUGGGCACAUCUGGUAUUUUAGCACUAGUCUGUCCUGAGCUUGAAAUGUGCUACCCUUAGCACAGAGAUAAGGGGGAAGACACUCAUAUUAAAAUAAACAAACUUCCAAGGUGUUUCAGGAGAAUAUUACAUGAAAAUUAUGAAAUAAAUUGGAAGAACAUCAUAGAGAGUUAAGAUUUCCAAGAUUGAGAAAAACAACUGUGCACAUAAACUGAGCUUGUAAGUUAGUAGAAGCUGGAGUGUGUGGGACAGACGGCGAGUGGGUGUUUUCCUGAAGAGCCAGGCUGUCUGGAUUCCUCAGAGGGAAACACGAAAUAAUAAAUGCCCUAGAGUCCGGCAAGUCAAGUGGCGAGGCUGUGGGGCGUGGGGAGUCUAAGACUGGUUCAGUUAAACUGAGAAUAAAGGGUGACGGAAAUGUACCCGCAGGGCAAGGAGAGAAGGUGGGGAUCGUCCAUGGAAAGCUCAAGAGUCACACCAAAAGCCACUGGGCAGCAAAAAUGACCAGCACGCUGGGGUUAACACCCACAUCUCAGCUCCUUCAUGGAAACAUCUCAGACAUCUACCGGAAGGGCACUGCCAUGACUUGGUCUUUGAAGAGCCUCUGUGCAGAGACUAUGACAGCCCAAUUUCUU